GACGUAGGGGGCAAGCGUUGUCCGGAAUCAUUGGGCGUAAAGCGCGCGUAGGCGGCCCGGUAAGUCCGCUGUAAAAGUCAAGGGCUCAACCCUUGAACGCCGGUGGAUACUGCCGGGCUAGAGUCCGGAAGAGGCGAGUGGAAUUCCUGGUGUAGCGGUGGAAUGCGCAGAUAUCAGGAGGAACACCAAUAGCGAAGGCAGCUCGCUGGGACGGUACUGACGCUGAGGCGCGAAAGCGUGGGGAGCGAACAGG
rnacentral:rRNA from 1 species